rnacentral:lncRNA from 1 species
GACUUCUACGGAAGCCAGACUUUACUUAUGACUUUGAUUGCAGAAAAACUUUGCCCUGACUCUUACGAAAACCGAGCUACUCCAACUUCCGGAGGGCUUCUCCGUUCGGACUAUCAAGGGAGCCGAACUUAGCCCCGACUUCAGCGGAGAAAAAUCCAAACAAACCUGACAAGUGGGUAUCUCCGAACGGCAUAAAAGCCGAAAAGGAGCUCGACGAAUGACGACCCCACAUGAACUGAAAAGGUUGUCGACGAUCUUGGAACAACGUAACACAGACAAAGAGAAGGAAAGGAAAAUGAAGAAGUUCGGCAGACAACUAUUCAACACAAGAUGCAAACAAGGUACUGAAAUCACUUUUUCAUUUAAUAAAAGUACACGUUACAGGACCCGGUGGGUCAGGA